GACGAACGCUGGCGGCGUGCUUAACACAUGCAAGUCGAACGGUAAGGCCCUUCGGGGUACACGAGUGGCGAACGGGUGAGUAACACGUGGGUGAUCUGCCCUGCACUUCGGGAUAAGCCUGGGAAACUGGGUCUAAUACCGGAUAGGACCACUGCCUUCAUGGGUGGUGGUGGAAAGCUUUUGCGGUGUGGGAUGGGCCCGCGGCCUAUCAGCUUGUUGGUGGGGUGAUGGCCUACCAAGGCGACGACGAGUAGCCGGCCUGAGAGGGUGACCGGGCACACUGGGACUGAGAUACGGCCCAGACUCCUACGGGAGGCAGCAGUGGGGAAUAUUGCACAAUGGGCGCAAGCCUGAUGCAGCGACGCCGCGUGAGGGAUGACGGCCUUCGGGUUGUAGACCUCUUUCAGCACCGACGAAGCGCAAGUGACGGUAGGUGCAGAAGAAGGACCGGCCAACUACGUGCCAGCCGCCGCCGUAAGAC
rnacentral:rRNA from 1 species